rnacentral:rRNA from 1 species
GGAAGCCUUUGGGUUGUAACCUCUUUUCUCAGGGAAGAAGAUCUGACGGUACUUGAGGAAUAACAUCGGCUACUCCGUGCCAGCAGCCGCGGUAAUACGGAGGAUGCAAGCGUUAUCCGGAAUUAUUGGGCGUAAAGCGUCCGCAGGUGGUCUUUCAAGGCUGCUGUCAAAGACCAGGCUUAACUCUGGGCGGGCGGGGGGAAACUGAAAAACUCCAGUUUCGGAAGGGUACCCCGAAUUUCCCGGGUAGGGGGAAAUGCGUAAAUAUUGGGAAAAACAUCGG